rnacentral:rRNA from 1 species
UACGAAGGAUGCAAGCGUUAUCCGGAUUUAUCGGGUUUAAAGGGUGCGUAGGCGGACUUAUAAGUCAGUGGUGAAAUCUCGUUGCUUAACAACGAACGUGCCAUUGAUACUGUAGGUCUUGAGUACAGAUGCCGUUGGCGGAAUGUGUCAUGUAGCGGUGAAAUGCAUAGAUAUGACACAGAACACCGAUUGCGAAGGCAGCUGACGAAACUGUAACUGACGCUGAGGCACGAAAGCGUGGGGAUCAAACAGG